rnacentral:misc_RNA from 1 species
UUAAAUAAAAAUCGGUGUUGUUGCUGCCUUUCGUGGUGACGCGUCGGAAUUGAGUCGUCUUAUCUUCGGCUAAGUGACUUAAAAUUUUAUAUGAUUUUCGAACGUAUUUAAAUUGCUUACGUACGUUUGAGAUAUCUAAUAUUUUAUUAGGUUCGGUCAUCCUUAUGAUUCGUUCCCAUAAUUUUUUCAUU